rnacentral:misc_RNA from 1 species
CUAUAAAAUGGCAAAAUUUUGUUCCAAUUUUAUAAAUUCAAAUU